AGUGAACGCUGGCGGUAGGCUUAACACAUGCAAGUCGAACGGCAGCACAGUAAGAUCGUGCUCUUACGGGGGGCGAGUGGCGGACGGGUGAGGAAUAUAUCGGAAUCUACUUUUUCGUGGGGGAUAACGUAGGGAAACUUACGCUAAUACCGCAUACGACCUACGGGUGAAAGCAGGGGAUCUUCUGACCUUGCGCGAUUGAAUGCGCCGCUGUCGGAUUAGCUAGUUGGCGGGCUAAAGGCCCACCCGGGCGACGAUCCGUAGCUGGUGUGAGAGGAUGGUCAGCCACACUGGAACUGGGCCACGGACAAGGCUACUGAGAGAAGCAGCAGUGUGGAAUGUUAGACAGUGGUGGCGAGCCUGAUCCAGUGAGACGGCGUCGGAGAAAGAGACGUUCCGUUUGUGAAGCCCUUUUGUGGGGAGAAAAAAGCAGUAGGUUAAUACGCCGCGGUUGUGACGGUACCCGAAGAAGAAGCACCGGCUAACUUCGUG
rnacentral:rRNA from 1 species